UAUUAAAUGGCUGAAAUUGCAAGCAUUGAUUUUUUAAAUCAACUUAUAAUAGAAUCGCACCUAUUUUUAAUUA
rnacentral:tRNA from 1 species